UCUCGAUAGUGUAAAAGUUAACUCAAAUUUGUAUAGAGUUUGGAACGUUUGCCUACGUUUAUCUACGUUUGCCCCUAGGGGCGCUGUUCCAACUGCCUACAAAUUUGACUUAACUUUUACGCUAUCGA
rnacentral:pre_miRNA from 9 species